UACAUCGGCCGUGUGUUGAUAAUAUCUCCACUCGAAGCAUUUUUAAACAGCAACUCCGAGAGAAAUCCUGUUUCUCCCUGCUGGCCUCCUCCGUACUUCCCGGCUGAUCUGAUUAUUUUUCCCUUCACGUUUUGUCCCAAUAGCAAAUUACCAAUUCUAUGAAUUGCAAAGCAGCCUGGAAGACGCUGAGGGGUAGAGAGGGGGAGAUGCCGAGAUUGAAAGGGAUCUUUGCAAACACAAUCACGUUCUUAAAUGGAAAUGUGGGGCUUUAAACAAAUCUUACAUCUCUCCUGUUCCAGUCGUCUAAAACUCCGCAAUCAGGCACACGGUCGACUCCAUCUAAAACCAAAGCUUUUAAAGAAGAUUUUUUUUUGGUGUCAGUUCUAUUCAAAUUAUUUACAUCAGUGUAUUUUUUUAGUUCACGUGCGUGUUUGUGUGUUUGUCUUGCUCUCAUUGGGGUGUUUCCACAGGCUUUGAGAGGAAAUGUGCUGUGCAUUUGGAGAAUUCAACCGUCAGACCAAAACGCUUCUCCGUGUGGCUCAAAGGGGCCUGAAAGGAUCCAGCGACUUGCUUUAAAGACAUCUGAAGAGUCCAGUUACAUUUGCUUGAGGGGUCGUUUGGGUAUGAAAUCCACCAAGAGGAUUUUAAAGAGGUCGUGACCAGCCCAGGUUUAGAAACAGAUGUAUAUACUUCGAAAGCAUGGGUGUAUUUGACCCCACCAUAAAAUGACACCGUGAUGGUAAAAGCCAGACUGACCAGGCCAACAACACCAGCCAAAAAGGGGUCACGACCAGACGGCAAGUGCUCCUGUCUCUGUGUCAUCUAUGGUAAAGGGUUUGUCAGAAGCCUGAAUUAAAUUAGACUGCUUUUAAUUGAAGAUUGACCAGUCUGAGAGCAGCUGACGCUUGGGUCAUUCAAGAUAGCAAAGCUUGAAUCCCUCAGGCCCCAACUGCAAUUUCAGCCCUGCAGGUCCUAGAACGGGAUGGGAGGGAGAGAAUGCGAGAGCAUGCUGGGAAUGCAUGGCUGAUGAUUAGCAAUAGGAGUUUAUAGGAAGGCUUAGAUGAGAUUUGGCUUGUUUGCUUGAGUGGAAAGUGUAGCAGCACAACAGGCCUACGCGGACAUGGAGUGAACCGAGGCAAGGUGGUCCGUUCUGCCAAAAAGCUUAUGUGCAAAUCGGCUUAAAGUUUGCACCUUGCUGAAAAUCUCCCAGUCUACACAAUUAAUCGCUUCAUUAAUUAACAAUCGCGCCAAUAUACCAUGCACCCCGGCUGAGUUUUGGCAAUCAGGUGGCAUAUGGCUAACCCUCCCCGAUCUUUCCUUUUCUUCUUAAUUUCUCUUAUUUCACUCCUACUACCUCCCUGAUUCUCGUCUUUUUCUUCUGUGCUGUUUUACGUUAAGCAGCAUCGCAACAGCCGACUGUUUUAGCUCGAACAGAUCUCCCGGCAAGCAGGUCAGAGCACUCCGCUAACAUUUGUUAUCUGUAAUCCUGCAGGUCCCCACACAAAAUGAGCGUAGUAAACUGUUGCAAAGCCCUAAUCCCUCCGUUCCUUUCAGAUGUGUUUUUUUCCAUCUUUUCUUUUGCAUUUAUGGAUUGGGAAAGCAUUUCGAGGAACCAUCUUUGAUUGCAACACAAAUGUAUUUUCACCCUUCUUACACUUCCAUCUCCUAUCAUUAACAACUCUUUUUCUGGCAAUUAAAUAGCAGUAGUGCUCCGAGAUUUAUUUGUUUUCACUUAGUAAUUUUGAUGAAUCAUAUCGCUGUAAGAGCCACCCAUGCUUUUAUGUCAAGACUUUGUUGAUUUGCUUUUUCAGAUUCAGUUUGCAAUAGCCGCAAUGCAAAAUUCAUACAUUACACAGCUUUAGUGAAUGUGUUUUUGAUUCAUCUUACUAUUAUACAGAUAGAAUUACGGUUUUCAUUCUCCAUCGGUCUCAGUUAUCUAUGCGCUUUUGCGUUUGAUUGAGUUUGAUACUAUGUAAAUGAUGUAUUUGAAUGCUCCCAUGCAGCUCUGGUGCAUUUUGUCUUGGUCAUGCACACCCACACAUGUAGCCACAUGCACACACGCGUGCAAACAACAACACAAAUUGUGUGUGUGUGUGUCUGUGUGUGUAGUACGGUUAGUAAUAGCAGAGCUCAGUGGAAGACUGUAGUGUUGACAGCAUAGUAAACGAUGCAGCCUGCCUACUGCAGCAGCAUCCCUGCUAAUCACACACACAACAUGAUAAUGAGAGCAACCCCAUCCUCACACACACACACUUGCACGACUAACCACAGCAAACGCACACAAACACCCUCUCACACACACUGACCCAUACUUCUACAGACAAAUGGAAGACAUAAUGGUAGCCGGAGGCAGUGCGCAUUACUUCACUCUGUCUCUCUCAAACCAAGCACAUCUCUAUCUCUUAACCCUCCUCACACACAUAUAAUAACAGCUCUCUUUCUCUCUCACUGGAAUUCAGUCUGGAAUUGACUGGAAUUCCCUUGAAAGUCUUUUAAGAGUUAAAAAGUUUAAAUGUGGAUAAUCCAUGUUUUACACAACCAUGCAUAUAAAAUAUGACAUAUUAGACUUAGUUUGUUAAGGGGAAAGAAGAAGAGAUCUUGAAAGAAAUGAAUAAUGCAAACUCUCAAACUCAGUUUGAUAGGCCCAUGGGUACAAGAUUUUAACUCUUUUUUUUUUCACGGUAGACCCCACAAGAUACUCAGGGUUCCCAUGGGUCCUUGAAAUCUUUGAAAGUUUGUGAAUCUGGGCGAAAAAAUUGAAGGCUUAGCCUUUUAAGCACACGUGCUAAACUGUUCACUUUAAAUGCUUAUAUCUUCUGUAUGCGAAUAUUGAUUCAUACCAAAAUGCUGUUUUGCAUAGUUGUGUUUGACACAUGAAAACGUCUCGGGUUACAUAUGUAACUGUUGUUCCCUUAGAAGGGAAUGAGACGCUGCGUCUCCCUUACCAUACUUCCUGCAUCCCUGUAACGCCGUCUUCGGCAAUAUUUCAGGUAACAAUAUGCUUCAUGGCUCCCGCAUCACCCUAUCUUUGUCGUUAAGCCUCAUCAUUGGUUGAAUUUGAAAUACACAUUCAGACGUCACCGUAGUGACGCAGCGCGAGUUCCCUCAACAGGGAACUGUAACAAUGUAUCUUAAAAGGUAACACGAUGUAACCUUGCUCUCACUUGAAAUGUGUCCCAACAUUUAGUCCUUGAAUGUGAGGGUAUUGGACCUUGAAAGGUCCUUGAAGGUCCUUGAAUUUGAAGUUAAGUAAGGUGUGGGAACCCUGUAUACUGUAAUUUACUCACCAUCAUGUUGUUUCAAACCUGUGUUACUUUGUAUCACCAUGGGUGUAUCUGGUCCCCAUUCACUAUCACUGUAUGAAAAUGAAACGUUCUGCUUAAUAUCUCUUCUUCUGUUCCAUGCAGAAAGGAAAGUCACACAGGCAUAUCAGAAUAGUUAGGAAGCAAACACAGUCAGUCUGUGACAUUGGGUACUAAAUUUAAAGACUGUGGCAAGAAAUUUAAGUCAGCGGAAAAAAUUACAACACAAUUGGUUUGGGGUCAUGUGCAGAUUUUUUGUGCAUUAUCCUUGAUUAAUGCAGGUAUAAAUUAGGAUAUUGUUUCCUGGCAAACGUGCACUCGGAGGAAUGGAGAUGUGUAAAUGGGUUAGUUCAUUUUAGGAGAGGUGACACUUCACACACUCUCACAUUCACACUUCUUUGUAUCUUGCAGGGCGGCAUGUGUGCUUAGACAGCAGGAUGUAGAGAGAACAGGUGUGGUGCCUGUAGGUCCUUUAUGUACCAUAUGUAUGCAGGUAAGGCCAUGGGGCAUGAUGUCACCGAAAGUGUCACUUCCGAACAGCUCAUGUCAACUCUCUCUCUUCUCUCUCAGUCACACACACACAUUAAACUGAUUGUUUAUUCAAUCCCUGCAGAAUUUUAUUAUUAUUAUGCUUGUUAUUAUUAUUAUUGUUUAUUAAAGAUAUUUGACGUUAUAUCAUUUUUAUUUGUUUUUAACAUUAUUGUCUUUUUAAAUAAAGUAGUGUUGUAUUAUUUUGUUCAUUUUUUUUUUUUUUACCAAAGAAUUAAUUGUUUUGUAACAUUUUGGGAAUGAUUGAUU